CAGCCGCCGCGGGAAAACGUAGGGGGCGAGCGUUGUCCGAAGUUACUGGGCGUAAAGAGCGCGUAGGCUGGUCUUUAAGUGAGUGGUGAAAGGUUCGGGCUCAACCCGGACACUGCCUUUCAUACUGGGGACCUUGAGUGUGGGAGAGGCGAGUGGAAUGGUCGGUGUAGCGGUGAAAUGCGUAGAUAUCGAUCGGAACACCCAUGGCGAAGGCAGCUCGCUGGCCUAACACUGACGCUGAGGCGCGAAAGCGUGGGGAGCAAACAGGAUUAGAUACCCCCGUAGUCCCUGUCUCUUAUAC
rnacentral:rRNA from 1 species